rnacentral:rRNA from 1 species
UACGUAGGGUCCGAGCGUUGUCCGGAAUUAUUGGGCGUAAAGGGCUCGUAGGCGGUUUGUCGCGUCGGGAGUGAAAACACCGGGCUUAACUCGGUGCUUGCUUUCGAUACGGGCAGACUGGAGGUAUGCAGGGGAGAACGGAAUUCCUGGUGUAGCGGUGAAAUGCGCAGAUAUCAGGAGGAACACCGGUGGCGAAGGCGGUUCUCCGGGCAUUACCUGACGCUGAGGAGCGAAAGUGUGGGGAGCGAACAGG